rnacentral:rRNA from 1 species
CGGAGACCGUGAGGUUAAGCAAAGCNCAAAAAAGGACAUCUCAGUUCGGAUUGUAGUCUGCAACUCGACUACAUGAAGCUGGAAUCGCUAGUAAUGGCAGGUCAGCAUACUGCCGUGAAUACGUUCCCGGGCCUUGUACACACCGCCCGUCACACCAUGAGAGUUGGAGAUACCCGAAGCCUAUGAGCUAACUUUUAGAGGCAGUAGUCGAAGGUAGAAUCAAUGAUUGGGGUGAAGUCGUAACAAGGUAUC